CUCUUGGUCACAGCAGGCUCCGGGAGAUUACUUGUCUCGCUACUGAAUUUUCUUUAUAUGAUUUUUUUUCUAAGAACAGGGUUUCAAAGGAGAUCAAAUAUUCUAACAGGGGAAUCCAGAAAGAAGAAUGUGAUCAAUUUCCUCCUCUCUACAGAUUUGUCUAUUUUGCAAUUCAUCAAAGAUGAUGAUCUAGAAUUCAGACUGAACACAGGGUCAAGUUCAUUUUUUCCCCAUUUUGAAUAGUGGAAAAAGGAACCCUGGAAGAUUUGAGACAUUUAAAAGCCAAAAAUACAAAUCAGCAAAACAGAACAAAAAGAACUUUCCGAAGGCAAACUUAUUAUUGAUUGGUAAAACACAUUUUUGAAACAAGUGAGUAUUUGGUAUCUGGG
rnacentral:lncRNA from 1 species